GAUGAACGCUGGCGGCGUGCUUAACACAUGCAAGUCGAACGGAAAGGCCUCAGCUUGCUGGGGUACUCGAGUGGCGAACGGGUGAGUAACACGUGGGUGAUCUGCCCUGCACUUUGGGAUAAGCUUGGGAAACUGGGUCUAAUACCGAAUAUGACCACUUCUUGGAUGUUGUGGUGGAAAGCUUUUGCGGUGUGGGAUGAGCCUGCGGCCUAUCAGCUUGUUGGUGGGGUAAUGGCCUACCAAGGCGGCGACGGGUAUCCGGCCUGAGAGGGUGUACGGACACAUUGGGACUGAGAUACGGCCCAG
rnacentral:rRNA from 1 species